rnacentral:rRNA from 1 species
CGUCUAGGCGGGUCGGUAAGUCGGCUGUGAAAUCCCUCGGCUCACCCGAGGAAGUGCAUCCGAUACUGCCGGUCUUGAGGACGAGAGGGGAGAGUGGAACUCCUGGUGGAGCGGUGAAAUGCGUAGAUAUCAGGAGGAACGCCGGCGGCGAAAGCGACUCUCUGGCUCGUUCCUGACGCUGAAGCGCGAAAGCUAGGGGAGCGAACG